AUCUUUUUCUUGAGUGGUAAAAGCUAACUUAGACUCCAUCAUUUUGUAUGUAUAGUUAGGUUUAUGUUUCCCAAUGUACAUUACUUUGCAUUUAUCAACACUGAAUUUCAUCUCCCAUUUUCUUGCCCAGUCACCCAGUUUCAUGAGAUCCCUUUGAAACUUCGCAGUCUGCUUUGGACUUAACUGUCUCGUCAACUCUCAACUGUGCAGAAUUCUCAUGAGUCAAGGCCAUCUCCCUUGUAGAAAGAAACUCCUGCAUCUGUCUGAUGCAGCAAAACCCAGAGAAAUCUCCCCUGCAGGAGAGCCUCAAUGGUGCAGGAGCAGCUCAGCCUUCAACAAACACUCUUCCAGCUCUUACAGAACAUGGGAACCAUCCCUGCUCCAUGCAGAGGCAGUUGGGAGAACUUCAUGGGCCAGGGAAGACCAACAACAAGGUUGGUUUGGGGACCUGUCCCAGUGCAUGUAUUGUGGCCAUGGAGGAAGGUCUCUAGGCAUGGCCCCAGGCCAUACCUGCCUGUGGAGCAGGAUACAGAGCUGGAGGCACCCCAGCACACAAAGCAAUGUGAGGAAGACUCACUAGCAUAGGCACCGACUUCCCCUCUUUCCAGUGAGUGCUUGACUGCCCUUCUGUCCCCAGCCCUGCCCCCACUCCACCUCUUCCAUAAGGCCCCACCCCUUCCCCAAAGUCCCUGCCCCAACUCCCCCCUGCCCCGCUAAUAUUCUAGCUCCUUCCCAAAUCCCCUCCCCAGCCCCGCCUCCUCCCGAGAACACCACGUUCCGGCUCCUCACCCCUCCACCCCCCAGCAUGCUAAUACUGCCAAACAGCAAAUGCUGGAAGGUAGGCAGAGGGACAGGGAUGCAGCACGCUCCGGGGGUGGAGGGGACUUGGCUGCUCCCUGUGGGGGCUCCAGCCCCAGAGCACUCACAGAGUUGGUACCUAUGCUCGCUAGUAACCAUUUAAGAGAAAUGAGAUUCCAGAAAACAAACAAUAGGUAACGCAGUCAACCCAGGCACUAGCCCCAUCACAGCCCUUCUCAGGAUGACACCAGCCCUGAUACCCACCUCCCCCGAGUCUGGUGUCCUGUGCCUGCUAUAACAUUAGCUCUCAUGGGAGUCUCCAGCACCUGCACAACAACCCUACGUGGUCCCAUGGAUUCUGCUAUGGUUACAGUGCCCAGCCCUAUCAGGAGUUCAUGACACUGAGCUGAGGCAGGUGCUCUUGAAGGAGGAACCAGAGGUUCAUAAACUGCCAGGGGAUGGGAGGUUGGAAGGGAAACUGGGUGCAAACCUGGAACAGGAUUUCCAGCAGAGGAAAUUUGAGAAAUCCACUGAAAACUAGUUUGGGCAGAGCUCUGAGAAAUAUCCUGCAGGGAACAAUGCUGUAGUGGCUGGGAGGUUGCCGGUUAGAGGUGAGGCGUUGUAAUCUCUCUUCCCUCUCUAGCUAAUCCCUGCAUGGGACAAUACUUGUUUUUAAAGCUAAAAUGGGAUUGAGCAAGGUUUGAGAACAAGCUCCCAAGUGGCUUUAGACAAAAUAAAAAGCAUUGGUCAGCACAGAAGAGAUGACGUUUGAGCACUGGAACUGUACAUGUGAUGGAUUAAAGCAAUACUUUCUCCUG